rnacentral:tRNA from 1 species
ACCUGCCUGGUUCAGUUGGAAGAGCAUGAGACUCUUGAUCUCUGGGGUCAUGAGUUUGAGCCUUAUGUUGGGUG